UAUAUAAAUUUAAUACAAAAAAAUACACAUCUAAAUCAUACACUGAGUAAUUGAAGCUAAACGAACAGGACAAGCAUUAGGAACAUUUUUAAAAAUACAGUUCACCAAAUAAAAAGUUUAGCUUCAACAUCAGUUGCUCUGUAUAUGGUCUGACUAUAAGUCUCUUCUACUCUGCAUGUAUGGAAUACAAAUAUAUACAUGGUAUUAAUUUUUGUAUUCUAAUUUUUUCUCGCUUUUUAGUAAACUCCAAUUAAGAUGCAAUAGCCAGCCUGCCAACGAAGCAAGAUUUUAUAUCCCUGAACCAAAAAUUGGACAGAAUACUAAAAAACAAAACAAUAAAAUGCCAAUAAAACCAGAUUGCAUUCCUUUAAAUUCCGUUGAAGAAGUACAGAACUUCAACAAUAUUGACGAGGAACAGUAACAUAUCUCAAAUUCUUGGGAAAACAAACUUUAGAGGAAGCGUUAAAUUUUGCAUGAAGCAAAUAAUAACGGACGAAGCUUUGAGCAAAUAUUCUUUAUGGGGCGAAAAAACCGGAAUCUCGAGCUUUACAAUACGCAGUUAUUAUAUGCAGUAUACGAAGCAGUAGCCAACAGCCCAUAUUUUAUGGUACCUAAUCAGCAGCAAUUUUAUGAUGCUGUAAAAGAAGUAAUAAGAUUUGCGAAACAACGAAUAAGAAAUGCAAUUCGCAGAAAAUCAGGCGAAAAAGGUCGCCGAACAAGGCGGCGCGAAGAAGCGGAUGCCAUAUUUGGUAUAAACAGAC
rnacentral:lncRNA from 13 species